rnacentral:pre_miRNA from 1 species
AAGAGUUACCUGAAGGGAUCUUGUUACAGUGCAGAUCUUGAUUCAGCAUUCUAGGUGGGGCUGGGGGUCUGCAUUUCUACAAGUUCUCAGAGGCUGCAGCU